UUAUCGGAGAGUUUGAUCCUGGCUCAGGACGAACGCUGGCGGCGUGCCUAAGACCUGCCAGUCGAGCGGACCGAUG
rnacentral:rRNA from 1 species